rnacentral:rRNA from 1 species
CUGCUGCCUCCCGUAGGAGUUUGGGCCGUGUCUCAGUCCCAAUGUGGCCGGUCACCCUCUCAGGUCGGCUACUGAUCGUCGCCUUGGUGGGCUGUUAUCCCACCAACUAGCUAAUCAGAUGCGGGCCCAUCCUGCACCGAAUAAAUCCUUUCUUUCCCAGAAGAUGCCUCCCAGGAACCGUAUGCGGUAUUAGUCAUCGUUUCCAAUGAUUAUUCCCCAGUGCAGGGCAGGUUGCCCACACGUUACUCACCCG